GACGAACGCUGGCGGCGUGGAUUAGGCAUGCAAGUCGAACGGUAGGAUACCUUCGGGUAUCUGAGAGUGGCGAACGGGUGAGUAACACGUAGGUGAUCUACCCUCAAGAUUGGGACAACCCAGGGAAACUUGGGCUAAUACCGGAUGAAAGCAGCAGUGAUGUUGUUUGAAAGGUGGCGUAAGCUGCCGUUUGGGGAUGAGCCUGCGCUCUAUUAGUUAGUUGGCGGGGUAAAGGCCCACCAAGGCGAUGAUAGAUAGGCGGCCUUAACGGGUGGUCGCCCACACUGGGAUUGAGAUACGGCCCAGACUCCUACGGGAGGCAGCAGUCGAGAAUAGUCUACAACGGCCGAAAGGCUGAUAGUGCGACGCCGCGUGAACGAAGAAGCCCUUCGGGUGUAAAGUUCUUUUAUAUGUGAGCAGUGCUUUCUAUGUGAACAGCAUGGGGAGAGAGAUAUUAGCAUAUGAAUAAGCAACGGCUAACUCCGUGCCAGCA
rnacentral:rRNA from 1 species